CCUACGGGAGGCAGCAGUGGGGAAUUUUGGACAAUGGACGCAAGUCUGAUCCAGCCAUGCCGCGUGUGGGAAGAAGGCCUUCGGGUUGUAAACCACUUUGUCAGGGAAGAAACGGCUCGGGUUAAUACCUUGGGCUAAUGACGGUACCUGAAGAAUAAGCACCGGCUAACUACGUGCCAGCAGCCGCGGUAAUACGUAGGGUGCAAGCGUUAAUCGGAAUUACUGGGCGUAAAGCGUGCGCAGGCGGUUAUGCAAGACAGAUGUGAAAUCCCCGGGCUCAACCUGGGAACUGCAUUUGUGACUGCAUGGCUAGAGUACGGUAGAGGGGGAUGGAAUUCCGCGUGUAGCAGUGAAAUGCGUAGAUAUGCGGAGGAACACCGAUGGCGAAGGCAAUCCCCUGGACCUGUACUGACGCUCAUGCACGAAAGCGUGGGGAGCAAACAGGAUUAGAUACCCUGGUAGUCCACGCCCUAAACGAUGUCAACUGGUUGUUGGGAGGGUUUCUUCUCAGUAACGUGCUAACGCGUGAAGUUGACCGCCUGGGGGAGGUACGGCCGCGAGUAGAACGUACGAAGAGAGUAGACGCGNGAGAGCGACGACGACGACGACGGAGGAGGAGG
rnacentral:rRNA from 1 species